rnacentral:rRNA from 1 species
UGGUGGANGGUGNAAGCUCCGGCGNUGCAGGAUGAGCCCGCGGCCUAUCAGCUUGUUGGUGAGGUAGUGGCUCACCAAGGCGACGACGGGUAGCCGGCCUGAGAGGGCGACCGGCCACACUGGGACUGAGACACGGCCCAGACUCCUACGGGAGGCAGCAGUGGGGAAUAUUGCACAAUGGGCGAAAGCCUGAUGCAGCGACGCCGCGUGAGGGAUGACGGCCUUCGGGUUGUAAAUCUCUUUCAGCAGGGAAGAAGCGAAAGUGACGGUACCUGCAGAAGAAGCGCCGGCUAACUACGUGCCAGCAGCCGCGGUAAUACGUAGGGCGCAAGCNUUGUCCGGAAUUAUUGGGCGUAAAGAGCUCGUAGGCGGCUUGUCACGUCGGUUGUGAAAGCCCGGGGCUUANCCCCGGUUCUGCAGUCGAUACGGGCAGNCUAGAGUUCGGNAGGGGAGAUCGCAAUUCCUGGUCGUAGCGGUGAAAUGCGCAGAUAUCAGGAGNAACACCGGUGGCAGAAGGCGGAUCCUCUGGUCCGAUACUGACGCUGAGGAGCGAAAGCGUGGGGGNGCGNACAGGAUUAGAUACCCUGGUAGUCCACGCCGUAAACGGUGGGCACUAGGUGUGGGCAACAUUNCACGUUGUCCGUGCCGCAGCUAACGCAUUANGUGCCCCNGCCUGGGGAGUACCGCCCGCNAGNCUAANNCUCNAAGNAAUUAGACGGGGGGCCCGCACGAGC